AAUCCAUGAUGAGGGCAUUGAGCUUGGUAGCCUUUGAAUCUCUCCCAGGCUUCACUGAAUCCUUCCAAGGCUUCACUGAAUCCUUCCAAGCCUUUAUGUUGAAAGCUGGAGAUCUCAUUUCUCAGCUU
rnacentral:snoRNA from 1 species